CUACGGGGCGCAGCAGUGGGGAAUAUUGGACAAUGGAGGCAACUCUGAUCCAGCCAUGCCGCGUGAGUGAUGAAGGCCUUAGGGUUGUAAAGCUCUUUCGCCGGUGAAGAUGAUGACUGUAGCCGGUAAAGAAGCCCCGGCUAACUUCGUGCCAGCAGCCGCGGUAAUACGAAGGGGGCUAGCGUUGUUCGGAAUUACUGGGCGUAAAGCGCGCGUAGGCGGCUUGAUCAGUCAGAGGUGAAAUCCCAGGGCUCAACCCUGGAACUGCCUUUGAUACUGUCAAGCUAGAGCUCGGAAGAGGGUGGCGGAAUAUCCAGUGUAGAGGUGAAAUUCGUAGAUAUUGGAUAGAACACCAGUGGCGAAGGCGGCCACCUGGUCCGUAGCUGACGCUGAGGUGCGAAAGCGUGGGGAGCAAACAGGAUUAGAUACCCGAGUAGUC
rnacentral:rRNA from 1 species